rnacentral:rRNA from 1 species
UACGUAGGGGCCGAGCGUUGUCCGGAGUUAUUGGGCGUAAAGCGCGCGCAGGCGGCCUCGCGCGCCCGACGUGAAAGCCCCCGGCUUAACCGGGGAGGGUCGUUGGGGACGGCGGGGCUUGAGGGCGGGAGAGGGUGGUGGAAUUCCCGGUGUAGUGGUGAAAUGCGUAGAGAUCGGGAGGAACACCCGUGGCGAAGGCGGCCACCUGGGCCGACCCCGACGCUGAGGCGCGAAGGCGUGGGGAGCAAACAGG